UAAAGCAGGCAUAAAAACAUAAAAAGGAGAGGCAGGCAUAAAAACAUAAAAAGGAGAGACAGGCCUAGCCUCCCAGCCUGCAUCUUUCACCCCUGCUGGAUGCCUCCUGCCCUUGAACAUCAGACUCCAAGUUCUUCAGUUUUGGGACUGGCUCUCCUUGCUCCUCAGCUUGCAGAGAGCCUAUUGAGCCUAUUGUGGGACCUUGUGAUCGGAGGCAUUUUCUCAUAAACAAAUGGUGGCUGAGAAAGCUGAGAAGAGAUGAUGACAAUCUUUUGAGGCUGGGGAGAAAAAUGAAGUUCACAACUCAGCAAAGAGGAUGGGCUCUGAUUGGGAGAUGUGCAGAUGAAGGAAUGAAUAUGGAAUACAUCUCUCAAAGAAUGACUGAUACAGCUUCAGGACUGAGGAUUGGAAUGUCCACAGAUGUCAUGUGUCAAGCUGCCCUGAAGGAACAGAAUGAGAAGAAAAAGAAUCUACUACCUCUUGAACCCACCAAGCACAUCCCAUCUCAGGAUCUCUACUCUUGCUGUUCUCUUUGCCUAAAACAUUCUUCCCCCAGAUCUGUGCAUGGCCCCCUCACUCACCUCACUUAGAUAUCUGUUCAAAUACCACUUGAAGACCAUUCUAUCUAAGCACACUUACAUUGUCUUAUAUUUUUAUGGCUCUUUUUGCUCCCUGCCUCUAACUAGUAAAUGUAUUUGUUUAUCUAUCUUUUGCCAUUUCCUCUCAAAUAUAAGCUUCCUGAAGACAGAGAUUUUGUUUCAUUCACUACUGCACCUUUAGUUCUCAGGACACUGCCUGGUACAUAGUAGGUGCUCAUUAAAUAUGUAUUAAAUGCAUGACUUCAGGGAACACAUCUCGAGUGGGCCAUGCACUGUGCAAGGUGCUUUAUGUACUUCAUCUCAUUUCAUAGUCAGAUCAUCUUGGUGAGAAAGCAUUCAUGGUCCCCCACAAUUUGGAGACUCCAUGUGGCUCCAGGGAAUUGGUCUCUGGUUUGACCCAGGGCCCGUGUUUUUCCCACCACAGGGGGCUGCUUCUGAGUACUGACUCCCUGAAGCUUUCUCUCUCCUUCUCCUCCUCUAUUAUACCAUCUUCUGGACAUUCUCCUGGAUGUUUUCCUGUAGUGCUGUCCCCUUUCAGCACUGCACCCAGGAUGUUUCUCUGGAGAUCUUCCCUGCACGGUUUCUUCUGACUGCAAGUCUCCUCUGCCCGGGACGAUGGUCAUGACUCAACUGUGGCAGGGCCAGGCUUGCUGCGUCCUCAUGGUCUUAGUUCGUAACCACUUGCUUGCCCCAUUCUUCACUCGCAUUCCACACUGCUAGUCAGCUCAUUAAGCUUCCAGCCUGGUUUUCAGUCCUCCCUGCUUUGUCCUUGGCUGGGCUUUCACAAUAGAUGCUGUGCCCUGCCUUUGUGGUCAUUUGUGGCUCUUUCCUCAGCAGCCACAUUGGGCAGCCUUUUCCUACUGUGCCCUGGUCAAGAAGCCACUUCUUUGGGUCUACACUCCUGUGGGAGGCCUUUCCUUGGGUUUUCUCAGACCUUGAGUUGGAGUAAGACCCAUUCUUUAGAAAUUCUAGGAUCAAUCUUAAACAUUUGUUGGAUUUGAUUUUUCCGGGCACCUUAGUGUGUCAUAAGGGAAACAGGAGGUUCUGAAGCCAGAAUUCCUAUCUUGGGAAAGUUUUUAAUCUACUACUUUAACUUAAUCAACAAGGACUCACAGAUAACCUGAUGUAUGUAUACCAGAAACUGUGCUUAAUGCUGGAGAAAAAGCUACAUACGAGGCUCACCUUUCCUUUCAUGGAGCUGAGAGCCACGAUGCAGGUCAUAGAACAGGGGGUGGAAUCAAGCAAUGCUAGCCAGUAUUUGAAGAGCUUUUAAAAAUAUUCUGUGUCUUAGACAAAAGAGUUAAUAUGCUUCUUCUCAUUUAAUCCUCUAAAAAGCUCUUGUGCCUAAGCAUGUCCACAAGUCUUAUCCAUUCCUAUAGCCCCCGACUGUCCUUCUGGCUUUGCCCCAAGGUUUUGUAAAUGUAUUGCUCUCAGAACACCUCAGGGACUUCCUGUGGACCCACUCACUGGUCUACAGGAUGCGGGGCUUGACGUCACACAGAAUGCUACCAUGAGGGCUCUUUCUGUAAGUGACAUUGAGCUACACCCAAUUCACAGCCCUUUCAGGGAAGAGUCCAGGCCCCCCUUUUCCUCUCCUUAACCACUGUCACGUCUUUCCAACUGAAACCCCUGCAAUCCACUUCCCUCUCUGUACCUGUUUCCUGUGCAGUAGUCUGAGCCGUUGCUGGGGUCAGAACAUGAUACCCCAAACUAUGGCACCUUGGCAUGCUGAGUGCUUUCAACGGAAGUAGAUUGAAAGGGCCUUAGAAGCAAGGUCUUUCAACCUUCUCCCACCCUCCUUUCUCUUGUUCCUGUUUCUCCCCCAAGGCAGACCUAGAAACUAGAAUUCUCCUUCCCUAAAGCAAGCCAUAAAACCUAGAAAUACUACUCUGACCUUCCUCUGCCUUUCUGUGUAGGAGCUGGCUAUAAAGAAAUUCUCUGACCUACUUUGUUUGAAAGUAGAUCAUAAGACCCUCAUUCCAGAGGUCCUGCCCUACACCCAGGGGAAAGGAAUGCCACACAGAGAGGCCAAGAAGAAUCUGAAAGACAGGUCUAGCUAGGUUUUCCCCGCUUCAGUCUCUCACCAUUAGAUCAUACCCUUUGGUCCAACCACAUUUCUACAUGGCCGUCUGUUCUCCAUCAAACCUAAGCACAAAAAUAGACAGUUGUUCCUGAGUCUUUGGAUCUUCAUUUCUGAAGGCUCCCAUGUCAUGUAAAACUUUUAUUCAAUAAAUUUGUGUGCUUU
rnacentral:lncRNA from 10 species